CGCCUCUUGACAAUAAUAAGAGGUCCUGCCUGCCCAGUGACAAAGUUCAACGGCCGCGGUACCCUAACCGUGCGAAGGUAGCAUAAUCACUUGUUCCUUAAAUAGGGACUCGUAUCAACGGCAUCACGAGGGUUGCACUGUCUCCCCCCUCCAAUCAGUGAAACUGAUCUCCCCAUGAAAAAGUGGGGAUAGCACUAUAAGACGAGAAGACCCCAUGGAGCUUUAAACCCAAUAGCAACUUAGUAAAAAUUCCUUCUAGCUACAAAAUUAUGCUAACGGCUUUAGGUUGGGGCGACCGCGGAGUAAAAACUAACCUCCACAACGAAAAGAUUUAAAUCUUUACCCAAGAGCUACUACUCUAAGAAUUAGAAAACUAACGUACUGACCCAAUAUUGAUCAAUGAACCAAGUUACCCUGGGGAUAACAGCGCAAUCUACUUCAAGAGUCCAUAUCGACAAGUAGGCUUACGACCUCGAUGUUGGAUCAAGGUAUCCCAGUGGUGCAGCCGCUACUGAAGGUUCGUUUGUUCAACGAUUAAAACCCU
rnacentral:rRNA from 1 species